UACGUAGGAGGCAAGCGUUGUCCGGAGUUACUGGGCGUAAAGCGCACGCAGGCGGUCGUGUCAGUCUGGGGUGACAGUUCCCGGCUUAACCGGAAAAGGACUCUGGAAACUGCACGACUUGAGGGCUUCAGAGGGAUGUGGAAUUCCAGGUGGAGUGGUGAAAUGCGUAGAGAUCGGAAAGAACACCAACGGCGAAAGCACUCUGCUGGGCCGACACUGACACUGAGAGACGAAAGCUAGGGGAGCGAAUGGG
rnacentral:rRNA from 1 species